AACGAACGCUGGCGGCAGGCUUAACACAUGCAAGUCGAGCGCCCCGCAAGGGGAGCGGCAGACGGGUGAGCAACGCGUGGGAAUCUACCGUGCCCUACGGAAUAACGCAUGGAAACGUGUGCUAAUACCGUAUACGCCCUACGGGGGAAAGAUUUAUCGGGGUAUGAUGAGCCCGCGUUGGAUUAGCUAGUUGGUGGGGUAAAGGCCUACCAAGGCGACGAUCCAUAGCUGGUCUGAGAGGACGAUCAGCCACAUUGGGACUGAGACACGGCCCAAACUCCUACGGGAGGCAGCAGUGGGGAAUAUUGGACAAUGGGCGCAAGCCUGAUCCAGCCAUGCCGCGUGAGUGAUGAAGGUCUUAGGAUUGUAAAGCUCUUUCACCGGUGAAGAUAAUGACGGUAACCGGAGAAGAAGCCCCGGCUAACUUCGUGCCAGCAGCCGCGUAA
rnacentral:rRNA from 1 species